GGCUAUUGCUGGCUCUUCGCUGAAGGAAUCACUUAAAGUAAUAGCAUCAGUUAAAGGCAGUUGGUGUUGUUUUAGGAGUUUCUACUAGUGUAACAGCAAUCUCUUCUGAUUUCAUCAGCUGAGAUCCAAAAUGGGAGAGUGAUGGUGUUUGUCUGCCUCUCACCAAAGCUUCUUAAUGGUGCGGUGCUGUCUGGAUGCACACAAGUGAGAUAAUGCUAUCUCUUCUGCCCAUCUCAUUUUGCCCCGCUGAACAACUUACUCCUUUGGACAUGAUGUGAGAAUGGUGGAGAAGGGCCAUGGAAGAUGACAGAGGUCAACGGGGAAACAUCUCCUUCUGUGUGAGGAUCACAGCCUUGUUCCUGGAAUAACACUACAAAAGCUGAGUGGAGGUUCUUCAAAAUCCAUUCAGAGAAGGUGCUUUCUGUUUAGCCAGUAGCUGGCUGGUUAGAAAGCUGAGCACCUCUCGUGACACUUCAACUCUCUGAAAAGGCACGGUCUCCGAGCCUGUAAAAUACUGGCAGAGUUGGGAUUGGAAAAGGAAAUCACCAUCAGCAGCAGAUGUAAGUUUACACUGAGUGGCAAAAUUAAAGAUUCAGAGAACCAGAAAGAAAAAAUGAUGCUGAUCUCUAGCUCAGUGUUGGUGCUUUUGAAGAAAGAUAGGAAGCUAGAUUCUAGUGGUUGUUCCUAUAUAAAAAGUUUAGGAGUCUCUGAACUGGUAGUGACUGGUAAUUCUGAGGACUGUAAUUUGGAUUUACAUUGCUCAAAUGGAAAUUAGGCAGAACUUUGGAAUCAAAGUCUUUCUUCAGAUAUGUUUUAAAAUGACUUGCCAAAGAUCACAGGUGAAGUACCUAUCAGAGAAGAAAACCCCAAACUGGCUUCAUAAAUUAUAAUUUGACAUGUCCAUAUAGGCCCUGUUUGUUUUAUUUUUUUUUUUAGUUCCAGUGUUACUGAUCCUUAUAUUAACCUCCAUUUAAUUUCUCUUUCCUGUUGGCAAUUCAAAGUAGUGACAGUUUAGAUUUGACACAUAAAUGCAUUGUUAAGAUGACCUGCAAAAAGCAGGAGGCUAUGGAGUUACACGGGAACAGCUGGACCUAUGUGCAUUUUUGUGUGCUUGUCACCUUCCAGUGACAAGCAAAGGGUAAGCUGGUUUUCUUUUUUUGUUAAAGGAUGUAAUUAUUUCCUAGGCCUACUUCAUAAAACUACAUGGUUGUCUAGCCUUUGUUAAGAAUUGAGUACUUAUUGCAAUAUUAUAAUGAAGAAACAUCUAAUGAAAGUGACCUUUAAAUUUUUUUUCAUCUCAUUGUAGCAGAUAAAGAA